rnacentral:tRNA from 1 species
GGCAGGUCUACCGUAUUGGCGAGCGGCACAGUCUUGAAAACUGUUUGAUUCUGAAAAGGGUUUGAGGGUUCGACUCCGUCACCUGCCUCCA